rnacentral:lncRNA from 1 species
GCCUCCGGCUGGGGCCACCCAGGCAACCGAUAUACACAGAGAACCACGUGGAGGAAAAGCACGCGAGUUUGGAGCGGGUGGAGCAGGAACAGAGGUGGACUGGAAUGUCACACGACGGGGCAGCUGGAAGGGCACCACUGAGUUCAGUACUUCAAAAUUGCCGUGCUCUACCUCUCCCCAGUGCACAAAAACACUCUCCACACCAAGCUGCUGCUGCUGGGGGAUGGAGGGAUGGCGUCAGCGAUUCAAGACUGUUUUUCCUACCUGUUCAGCACUUCUUUCAGCGAUAUGAAGUUAAAUCCAGAUGUCGUCAUCAUCCACUUGUUCAAACAAGAGCCCAAGGAUCAUCCUAGAUUCCUUCUCACUUCCUCUCAAUCCAUCCCUGAAACAGCCAAACCACCAAGCAGCAAGAGGGAUCUUAUAAAAAUAUGACCAGAUCACAUCCUUCAACACUUCCCUGUUACCCUUACAAUAAAAUUCAAACUCUUCACCAUGACCUCCAAGGCUCCUAUUGAAUCCGGCUCUUGUCUGCCUCUUCAGUAACAUCAUGGACCACUCCUUACCAUUCCCUCCAUCUGGCUGUGCUUCCUGCAGCUCUUCCAAUGGCUGGCUUGUUCUCACCUUUGAAGUCUCAGCUCAAAGGACACUCCCUUGGGCUCUCCCUCAUCACCCUAACUAAUAGGUCACUUAAUAUUGUUAUUAUUUUUUAGAGACAAAGUCUCACUAUGUCACCCAGGCUUGCCUCAAACUCCUGGGCUCAAGCAAUUCUCCCACCUUGGCCUCUCAAAGUUCUAGGAUUACAGGCGUGAGCCACUAUGCCUGGCUAUGUCACUUAUUAUUCUUUAUUAUCUUCUAUAUAUAAAUGAUCCCAAUCUAUAAUUAUUUGAUUUAUUGAUUGGUUUACUUGCUUAAUAUCCAACUCCCAUACUAGAAUAUAAAUGUUAUAGAACAAGAGAUUGUCUGUACCAUCCACUGUUCUAGUCUCAUUACCCCACAUAAGGCCUGGCAUGGAGUGUGCACCUAAUAAAUGUUUGAAUAAAUAUUGACUGGAUCAGGGAUUCUUCUGAUGGGCCUGUGUGCUCUAAGAGCUGUUAUAUCCACCAGCAGUUGUGUGUUAACCUAGAGAGGAGCUAAGUCCUGUCCUCAGACUGAACCCACGAUGGCUUCCUCUCCCUUUUCCCUGGUUUUGCAGAGUAUAGAAGAAAUAACAUAAAAUUUCUUUUUUUGCAAUUAGUUUGCAAAAUAGUAGAGGCUGCUUUUUGCACUCUUACUCAUGACUCCUCCUCUGGGAAGCCGCUGUCGCCUGGCAAAAGGGCCCUACAUAUGUGUUCCCACAGCACUUUGAUAAGGUGUAAUUUAUAUUCAAUGAAAUUCACCUAUUUUAAGUGCACAGUUUGAUGAGUUUUGAUAAAGGUAACCACUCCAAAGAGUUUCCUGGUGCCUUGGCUUCUUCUAUUUCUUUAAUAUCGUGAUAAAAUACACUGAAUAUAAAAUUUACCAUCUCAGCCACCUUUAAGUGUACGAUUCAGGCUGGGUGUGGUGGCUCACACCUGC